rnacentral:ncRNA from 1 species
ACCAUGGAGAGUUUGAUCCUGGCUCAGGAUGAACGCUGGCGGUAUGCUUAACACAUGCAAGUCGAACGAAGUCUUCGGACUUAGUGGCGGACGGGUGAGUAACGCGUAAGAAUCUACCUAUAGGUUCGGGACAACAGUUAGAAAUGACUGCUAAUACCGGAUGUGCCUUCGGGUGAAAGUUUUAAUGCCUGUAGAUGAGCUUGCGUUCGAUUAGCUAGAUGGAGUGGUAACGGCACACCAUGGCAACGAUCGAUAACUGGUCUGAGAGGAUGACCAGUCACACUGGGACUGAGACACGGCCCAGACUCCUACGGGAGGCAGCAGUGGGGAAUUUUCCGCAAUGGGCGAAAGCCUGACGGAGCAAUACCGCGUGAGGGA